GUCCUAGAUAGUUCAGUUGGUUAGAGCAUGAUGCUAAUAACAGCAGGGUUGCAGGUUCGAUCCCUGUAUGUGACA